rnacentral:lncRNA from 1 species
AGGGGCAGUAGUUUUUUGAAUCUUCAUAAAUAACUUUGUCGAAGAGGAGGCAGACCUCAAAAUAUCAAUAGGCUCUAGUUUAACUCCUUAAAAAAUAAAACGACACCUCCUUUUCCAAAUAGCCCACAAGAUAAAGCUUAUAUAGGUCAAGCACCAAUUUUUAUCUACUUUAGAAGAUAACUCCAUUUGGGUCAAGUUAAGAAACCACUGAUCAAAAGUUCGAAAGCUUUGGGGAUUGAUUCUAUAAUUUAACUCAGAGCCAAACCAAACUGUUCGAACACAAGGGCACAACAAAAACAAAUGUUCCUCUGAUUCCUCCAAUUCUUCACAGAUAGGGCAUAAAGGAGACUCCCUAAUUUUUCUUCGAAAAAGAUUCAGACAUGUAGCGAGAGAAUGAGAGAGCAGUCUCCAGAGGAACAUUUUAAUUUUUGGCUGAGAAACCACAACUCUUUCCACACCACCAGAUUGAUAAUAUGGGAAGAGUGAGCACUAACUCCAGACAAUUUAGAGCAUAGAGAAUGAAUUCUGUGAUACCCCGACUUAACAGAGUAUUGGCCAUUAGCACUCCAUGGCCAAUAUGAUCUGGAUUACCAACAUUACCAAUGGGAAUGCUCCUAAUUGCAUCCAUAGUUUCUCGAUAAAGGACCAUGCAUACAUUUUGGAAGUUCCAUUGAUGGGAGUCUUUGUCCA